GCCAACGUAGCUCAGGGGUAGAGCAGCUCACUCGUAAUGAGCAGGUCGACGGUUCAAAUCCGUCCGUUGGCU
rnacentral:tRNA from 1 species